AGCGAACGCUGGCGGCGCGUCUUAAGCAUGCAAGUCGAACGGCAAGAGAGGAGCUUGCUUCUCUCCUAGAGUGGCGGACUGGUGAGGAACACGUGGGUAAUCUACCCUUAAGAUGGGGAUAGCUGCUAGAAAUAGCAGGUAAUACCGAAUACACUCGGCAUAUCACAAGAGGUGUUGAGGAAAGGAAGCUACGGCUUCGCUUGAGGAUGAGCUUGCGUCCCAUUAGCUAGUUGGUGAGGUAAAGGCCCACCAAGGCGACGAUGGGUAUCCGGCCUGAGAGGGUGAACGGACACAUUGGGACUGAGAUACGGCCCAAACUCCUACGGGAGGCAGCAGCUAAGAAUAUUCCGCAAUGGACGGAAGUCUGACGGAGCGACGCCGCGUGGAUGAAGAAGGCUGAAAAGUUGUAAAAUCCUUUUGUUGAUGAAGAAUAAGGGUGAGAGGGAAUGCUCAUCUGAUGACGGUAAUCGACGAAUAAGCCCCGGCUAAUUACGUG
rnacentral:rRNA from 1 species